rnacentral:lncRNA from 1 species
GCUCCGCAGCGUCGCCCCGCCCACUGCGCGGCCUGUCCCCACCCCCUCGGUGCCCGGCGGCUCGUGUGCGGCCCAUUUGCCCAGGUCUGGAGGGUUUGGCGGGGCCGGCAGGAAGGAAGCCGCGGAGCGGACGCGGUGGGCGUGUGGGAUAGAGACGACGCGGGUGACCAGGUCGCAGCCGCUGGGCGUGGGCAGGGCGGAGAGCGGAGGACACUGAGGAGCCGGAGUGCACAUGUGAAACGUAUGGCCACUGUUCUGCAGCCGUCCAGGCACGAAAGGUGCUGUCCCGUGAGCCGGCUCGCGGCGACACUUGUGCAGAGCCGGGGAGGCCCGGGACCGCGCGAGCGGCGGUUUCCUUUGGCCAUUAGGCCCCGCCCACGAGGGCAAUUCCGCCGGCUCUAGGACAGGCUCCGCCCACCGCAUGCCUCGGGGGCGGGUCCACUGAGGCUCCGCCCACGGGCCCCACACCUCUCCCUUCGUCCCCGCCCACGCAAGCAAAGGCGCUCGGUCCCGAGCAGGCUCCACCCACCGCGGUCCAGGGUGGAGACCACCGAGUCCCCAGGAGCCCACGUGCCAAGGUUCACGCAAGACCCACCCCCAAGGCCAAGCCGGCUUCCCCGGCAUAGGCACCGCCCACCUUACGUCUUGGGGACUGGAUCCACCGGGGCCGCGCCCGUUUGCUGCGCAUCUACCUGCACGCCCCGCCCAUCGGCCCGGCCCACCGAAGCAAGCCGGCUCUUUCCCGGUUCUGCUGCAACUGGGCGACCCUGGACCGUUGGGAUUUUUGUGGUCUGAUUUGCAUAUGGUCAUAAGUCUGUAAGAAAACUGCAUCAUAGAGACCAGGGAUCACUCGAUUCUCUGCCUUCCCUGGUAGCUCUUUAUCGAGGGAACAGGCUUAGCUCUCUAAUUCGCUACUUCCACUGACCUUUAUUGGACAUCCCAUAUUGAUGGAGCGCGCUAGCAAGUAGACGCUCGCUCACUCGGAUGAUUUAGGAGCUGCCUUCGUCGAACCCAGGGCCUUGAGCAUGCCAGGCAAAUGCCAGGUCCCUCAGCUACAUACAUGCUCAGCCUAAGGCAGUGUAUUUUUUUUUUUUUUUUCUUUUGAGACGGUUUCUCUGUAUUGCUUUGGAGGUUGUCCUGGAAGUCGCUCGGUAGCCCAGGCUGGCCUCGAACUCAUAAUCCUCCUGCCUCUGCCUCUUUCAGCAAAUCCCACUGGCGUGUGCCACCACAACUGGCCAGUGUAUCCUCUUAACCCUUGUUUUUGUUUUGUUUUGUUUUGCCUUUGAAAAUGCCAAGCAAAGCAUUUCGGUUGUUCUCCCCAAAGUGCUGUACGAGAAAACAAACAAGAUCUGAAGGUGCUGAGGGAGGUUCUGAGAGUUUUGUCUGAGGGUGCACCUAGAUAAAAGUAAGCUUCAGGUAGGCAUGCCAGGCCAGAACGGUCGUAUUUGCAGAAGAAACCAUGAUUUCUCUCUUAAGUGGGCUAAUAAUUUCUCUAAAACAAAUGGUUAAAGCACAAAAAAACAAAAACAAACAAAAAAACAGUGCCUGGUAUUAAUUUGACAUUAACAAAAACAAAACAAAAACAAAUGCAACUUAGCAUGGUACAAAUCCCAAUCAGAAAGGAGUAGAUCUGAAGCUAUUGCAUUUGGGCCAUGGAAUGAAAAGGAGUGUGGGCUUCUCAGAGAUUAAGUCAGUGCUGCCAAAGUCCCCGUACCACCGUGCAUGGUCCAGAGUGGCACAUCCUUGAUCCGUUUGACAGACACUUGGCUGUACAUCCCCGAUGCAAACCACUGCACAAAAAACUUUCCUUUUUGGUGGCAGGGAGUCUCCCUUGUCCUCUGGUAAUUUGCAGGCCUGGAUGGAAACAAGAAACCCUGUGUCACCCUGCAGGAGACAAGUCUGCAAGGGAAGCGGUGGGGAUGGUAUAGCCCAGGACACAAUAAAGUGGGGUGCAGGAUGUUUUGCUGCUGGAGAGGAGAUGGGAAGGACAGUCUCUGAUUGGACGGGAACGGCUUGCUGGGGAGCUGGGCUUGCCUCCCAGUGCAGCGAGGAUGCUAGAGUUUAGCUGGAUAUGAACACCUUUUCAUUUCCUCAAGACGGGAACAUGUCAUCCUGCCAGGAGGCUCUCUAAACAGGAAGGUAAGCAACUCAAUAUAGUCCAUGGAAACCCCUGAAACUGACCUGAUUCACUAGGCCCCUCCCUGCCAGAGUAAGCAAUAAAAGCAAGAGUUCCCCUCAGAGGGAAGGAAGCUGAGCUACAAAGACUCAUGGAAAGAAGACCAACUGAGGGACCUGGAAGGGACACUCUCCAGCCUGUUGAACUCCCUUCAGGCAGUGCUGUGUGCUCCAGGUUCCAAGAUUUGUUAAAUGUCACCCAUACUGGGGUGGCUUUAGUGAUGCAGCUGUCUUUGAGUCAUUUCUGCUCCUGGCUUCCCGUGCUCCUAAGCCAGCUGGAGCGCAAGACAGCCCAGGAGGACCUUUCCUGUUGAGGACCAAAAACAUGGCCAAAAGCCUGGAACUUGGAUCUUGAGGGUCCUUUGGGUAGAGAGGAAUCGGGGCAGGGAGGGGGUGGCAGAAUGGCAGAGUUUGGAAAGGGCAGACUAUGGUUUGUGUGUAGACUUAGCCGAGAACUCUUCCCCUCCACCCCCAGACAGGGUUUCUCUGUGUAGCUUUGGAGCCUGUCCUGGAACUCAUUCUGUAGACCAGGCUGACCUUGAACUCACAGAGAUCCGCCUGCCUUGGCCUCCCAAGUUGUGCGCCACCAACGCCCGGCUUAGCCUCAAACUCUUUAAAGGAGUGGUUCUUAAGAUGGGUACCAUUGUCCCCUAGGGUCCACUGGGCAGUGUCUGGAGGCAAUUUGGGUUGAUGCAACUGGGUGGGUGAGGUGCUGUCACCGUCCCAUGGAUAGAGGCCAGGAUCACCUCGAACCUUCCCGUGGUAUACAGGGUGGCCCUACCAGGAAGUGUCUUCCAGCCCCAAAGUCAGCAGUACAGCAAUAUAGAAACGCUGGUCUAAACUCAGGCAAAAGGGAUGUGAUGCCAUUGGUCCUGCCCUCUCUGGUGGUCACCAGGUGUCACAGACAACUGUGGUGCGGAAGCCAGAACCUUGGGCACAGACUUUAUUUAGGAGGAUAUUGUUCACCUGAAUGGACCCGAAGCUGGCUGGACAUGCUUCACACCCCACCUUCCUGUUGUCUCCUCGGCUGCCAGUAUAACUUGGAGACCUGACUGUUCCUGGGAAAGCUGAGCCUAGCCCCUGCUCAGGGGAACAGGGUUCCCUCCAAGGUUACUCUUGGUCUGGGGAGGACCGGAGGGAGAGGCUGAUUUGUGUAUGUUCCAGAUUCUGAGUUGUGAGGGAGAGGUACUGAGUAAGCCUUUCCAUUGCCACCAUGUAUGAGAAUGCACAAGACGGAAUUUGCAGCAUUGUAAGCUUUGUUUCUCUUUCAUUUUUACUAUAGUGCUGUGGAGGGAUAUUUUUUCAGGCUGACUUUUUGUGACUUCCCAGAGCUGUGCUGAGUAAAACUCCAGCUAUUGGUGAUGAGAAAAGUCUGCAGUAAAUGUCCCUGGCUUUUGAACUUCAUCUGGACCUGCUUCCUGAAGAAGCCAGCUUGCAAACACACACACUGGAGACCAGAUCCCUUGAGUGUCAGCCAGUUUGCCAGGGAAGCAAGGGGCUGGUUUCACCCUUGUAACUGGAGAGGUGGACUGUGCUUUGGCAGUGUGACUGAUUGGUGUCCUUUGUGGCUGUCUCAUGGGGAUGACUUCCUUUGCCUGUCUGUGGAGGU